rnacentral:rRNA from 1 species
AUUGAACGCUGGCGGCAGGCUUAACACAUGCAAGUCGAGCGGAGAUGAGGUGCUUGCACCUUAUCUUAGCGGCGGACGGGUGAGUAAUGCUUAGGAAUCUGCCUAUUAGUGGGGGACAACAUUCCGAAAGGAAUGCUAAUACCGCAUACGUCCUACGGGAGAAAGCAGGGGAUCUUCGGACCUUGCGCUAAUAGAUGAGCCUAAGUCGGAUUAGCUAGUUGGUGGGGUAAAGGCCUACCAAGGCGACGAUCUGUAGCGGGUCUGAGAGGAUGAUCCGCCACACUGGGACUGAGACACGGCCCAGACUCCUACGGGAGGCAGCAGUGGGGAAUAUUGGACAAUGGGGGGAACCCUGAUCCAGCCAUGCCGCGUGUGUGAAGAAGGCCUUAUGGUUGUAAAGCACUUUAAGCGAGGAGGAGGCUACUGAGACUAAUACUCUUGGAUAGUGGACGUUACUCGCAGAAUAAGCACCGGCUAACUCUGUGCCAGCCGCCGCAGUAA